rnacentral:lncRNA from 1 species
CACACAAACACUGCCGCCCCCCUCCGGAGCACAGGAAGGAAUGAAGAAGUUCCACCUGAGCCUCCCAACCACACUGGCUUCCUUGUGGUCCCAGCUGUCUAGAGUGCGAUAACAAGAAUAUAUUUCCUCUGAAUCCAGAAGUCAGCCUGGGUCCUUGAGGUGACCUUGUGGUCUACUUUCUAGAGUCUAACUGCAGGAUGGCUCUACUCAGCAUGCGGUUACAUCAUGGAGUUCUUAGUACCGCAUCGGUCCUCCUCCACGGCAUCUGCCUCUGUGCUGCUUCCAGCCCGGUCUUCCCGUCCGUCUGCAGUGGCUUGCUUCUCAUCCAUGCCUUUCCAGACCUCUCCCAACUCACCCUUUGUUUUGUUCUUUUAUCUACCCUUGUCAUCCAGAGCACUUAGCUGCCGGUUCUGCUUUUAUAAAUAUUUUUAAAAAAAUAAACCCCUUCAUUCCUUCGUGAA